AUUUUAAAAUGUUUGGUUUAUUCCAAUAAAGAUCGAAACUUUCAUUCUUAUUUACAAAUUCUUUUGAAGAAAAAGCACUAUAAGAACAUCAAUAUCCAUAAGAUAUAUGAAAUGAAAAUGACGUCUAAAUCUUUAUGACUUUUAUGCGGAGGGCUUUCCGUGUGCUAUAAUGAAACAAUCAAAAAGUAACUUAAUAUUAAAAUUUUUGGUUAAUCUAAAAAAUGUUUCCCAGUACGGAUUACUAAUUUGCAACUUAAAAGUAUGAAGUCAGAAUAAAAAGUAAUGGUAGAUAAGAACGCUACCGUGAAAAUAAAAAUUUCACUUGCACGUCUCGCCCAUCACCUCGAGAAAAUUUAUAUCAAGUGAAGCCUUAAAAGCUUUAAGUAUUUUAUUGUGACCUUGGUGUAGAUAAUUUUGAGCAAGUUGUAACAAAGUAGCUGUUGAUGAAUCAGUAGCUGGAACA
rnacentral:rRNA from 1 species